rnacentral:rRNA from 1 species
AGUGAACGCUGGCGGUAGGCCUAACACAUGCAAGUCGAACGGCAGCACAGUAAGAUCUUGCUCUUACGGGUGGCGACUGGCGGACGGGUGAGGCAUACAUCGGAAUCUUCUUUUUCUUUGGGGAUAACGUAGGGCAACUUCUGCUACUACCGCAUACGACCUACGGGAUACAGCAGGGGAUCUUCGCACCUUUCGUGUUUCAAUUAGCCGCUGCCGGAUUAGCUAGUUGGCGGUGUAAAGUACCACCAAGCGGACGAUCCGUAGCUGGUCUGAGAGGAUGAUACGCCACACUGGAAAUGAGAAACGGUCCAGACUCCUACGGGAGGCAGCAGUGGGGAAUAUUGAGCAAUGGGCGCAAGCCUGAUGCAGCCAUGCCGCGUGAGUGAAGAAGGACUUCGGGUUGUAAAACCCUGUUAUUGGGAAAGAAAAGCAGCAGGUUAAUACAUCGCUGUUCUGACGGUACCCAAAGAAUAAGCACCGGCUAACUACGUG